UACGGAGGGGGCGAGCGUUAUUCGGAAUUAUUGGGCGUAAAGGGCGCGUAGGCGGCGCGAUAAGUCAAAGGUGAAAUCCCUCGGCUCAACUGAGGAACUGCCUUUGAAACUGUCGUGCUUGAGGCCGGGAGGGGGUAGCGGAAUUCCCAGUGUAGCGGUGAAAUGCGUAGAUAUUGGGAGGAACACCAGUGGCGAAGGCGGCUACCUGGACCGGUUCUGACGCUGAUGCGCGAAAGCGUGGGGAGCGAACGGG
rnacentral:rRNA from 1 species